GGAGAGAGACAGAGAGAGAUUGUAACCCACAGCGGCUGCAUUGCUGUGGGUUGCAAUGUACUUUCUCUCUCUGUCUCUCUCCUCUCUCUGUGUGGCUUCGUCUCAUUCGCUCCGUCCUCAUUGGUGUUAAGCGGCUUCUUCUUCGUUGAUUUUCGGCGGCUAUUUCUUCCGGUCGGCGGACUCUGGCAUCGAAACCUGGAAUCGAAAUUUUAAUAUUUGAACGAUACCGGAAGAAUCGAAGUUUUUGUCCCGAUUCCCAUCGAUUCUCGAUUCUCGAUUCCCAACCCUAUACAUGACUGAUUCGGUACAAACAAUUACCCACCAUAUGCUGCUUAUUUCCCACUGUCCUCUCAUCAUCAGAUCAGUCUGUUGCUGUAUGACUGAUCUCGUUAUUGUAGACAGUGCGAUCACGGCGUCUGGUUUUCCAGCUGUAUAAUUAAUGGAUUUCUUCAUUCUGUGUGUGUCAGGUUCUUGUUGCAUUGUCUGGAGGACUUGGACGCCAGCUUGCGCAAACUCAACUCCCGCCUGUUUGUCAUCAGAGGACAGCCCACAGAUGUCUUCCCUCGUCUGUUUAAGGUGGGACAAUUAAUUGAAAGUAGAUCAAACAAUUCAAAUAGCUAACGCAGGGAGCGUUCAAAUACAAGAUUGGGGAAAAAAGAGUCACUCUUACUAUUGAUUAGCCUCACAUGCAGCACAUGACUCAAACAGAUACUGUGUCAAUUCACCGUAAACGUUGUGAUUCUCUCGGAUCUAAAAGAUAAACCUUAACCUUUCUCUCUAUCUGUCUCAUUCAGGAGUGGGAGAUCAAACGCCUAUCUUAUGAGUACGACUCCGAGCCGUUUGGGAAGGAGCGUGACGCCGCCAUCCAGAAACUAGCCAACGAGGCUGGGGUGGAGGUGGUGGUGCGGGUUUCACACACACUCUACAAUCUGGUGAAGUGAGCGAUGAACAAGUGUCAUUCAUUUUUAAGGGGUGCACAAGGGUUAAAUGCAUUAAAAAUUACAAUGUAAUUUGGAAUGAGAAGAAACAACAAUCUGCCAAUGAACAAAAUAAAAAUUCUAUCAAAAUUUCUUGAAAUUUAUAAA